rnacentral:sRNA from 1 species
AAAUCAACAUUGAAUCCCAAUGCAAAGGAGUUCAACCCACGUUCCUUCUCUCAGCCAAAGCCUUCUACUACCCCAACUUCACCUCGGCCUCAAGCACAACCUAGCCCAUCUAUGGUGGGUCAUCAACAGCCAACUCCAGUUUAUACUCAGCCUGUUUGUUUUGCACCAAAUAUGAUGUAUCCAGUCCCAGUGAGCCCAGGCGUGCAACCUUUAUACCCAAUACCUAUGACGCCCAUGCCAGUGAAUCAAGCCAAGACAUAUAGAGCAGGUAAAGGUGAGAAUAAUCCUGCCUGUGUUUGCUUGUAGUUUGCAUGCUGCAUGAAUUGAGUAACUAAGUUUAUAAUGAAUAAAUAGUUGUAGUUUAGCUCUGACUUUUUGAUAAGGCUAUGCAUUGACUUUUGAUGAACAACAUUACAUAGAUAUUCACAUG